AAAUGAAUAGACGGGGACCCGCACAAGCGGUGGAGCAUGUUGAUUAAUUCGACGCAACGCGAAGAACCUUACCAAGGCUUGACAUCCCGAUGGAUGUCAUAGAGAUAUGGCAGGCCCUCCGGGGACAUCGGAGACAGGUGGUGCAUGGUUGUCGUCAGCUCGUGUCGUGAGAUGUUGGGUUAAGUCCCGCAACGAGCGCAACCCCUAUCCUUAGUAGCCAACGGGUAAGGCCGUGCACUUUAGGGAGACUGCCGUUGAUAAAACGGAGGAAGGUGGGGACGAUGUCAAAUCAUCAUGCCCCUUAUGUCUUGGGCUUCAAACGUGCUACAAUGGCCCUUACAGAGUGACGCGAGGCCGCGAGGCGGAGCAAACCACAAAAAGGGGUCCCAGUUCGGAUUGCAGGCUGCAACCCGCCUGCAUGAAGUUGGAAUCGCUAGUAAUCGCGAAUCAGCACGUCGCGGUGAAUACGUUCCCGGGUCUUGUACACACCGCCCGU
rnacentral:rRNA from 1 species